rnacentral:SRP_RNA from 1 species
GUCGAGCUUAGUAACGCAAGCUUGUGAUCCGAGUGGAGACAAUAAGGAGAUGGGGCAUUGUCCUGACUUGCCUGGGAAUGGUUUGGAGAGAUCUACCUACUGACCCAAGUUUAAAGGAGUUCGGUUGGCUGCAAUGGCCAGGCGUUAGUCUCCUAGAGCCGAAUGAAUAUAGGACCAGUGACCUCUAGACCUACAAUUCCUGGUAUGCCUGUUUAAAUUGGACCAUCACUUUU